rnacentral:rRNA from 1 species
AUGAACGCUGGCGGCGUGCCUAAUCCAUGCAAGUCGAGCGAACAGAUGAGGAGCUUGCUCCUCUGACGUUAGCGGCGGACGGGUGAGUAACACGUGGAUAACCUACCUAUAAGACUGGGAUAACUUCGGGAAACCGGAGCUAAUACCGGAUAAUAUAUUGAACCGCAUGGUUCAAUAGUGAAAGACGGUUUUGCUGUCACUUAUAGAUGGAUCCGCGCCGCAUUAGCUAGUUGGUAAGGUAACGGCUUACCAAGGCAACGAUGCGUAGACGACCUGAGAGGGUGAUCGGCCACACUGGAACUGAGACACGGUCCAGACUCCUAAGGGAGGCAGCAGUAGGGAAUCUUCCGCAAUGGGCGAAAGCCUGACGGAGCAACGCCGCGUGAGUGAUGAAGGUCUUCGGAUCGUAAAACUCUGUUAUUAGGGAAGAACAAAUGUGUAAGUAACUAUGCACGUCUUGACGGUACCUAAUCAGAAAGCCACGGCUAACUACGUG